UGGGGAGUUUUGCACAAUGGGGGAAACCCUGAUGCAGCGACGCCGCGUGAUUUAGAAGGCCUUCGGGUUGUAAUAAUCUUUUUUACGGGAUGAAAAUGACAGUACCGUAAGAAUAAGGUCCGGCUAAAUACGUGCCAGCAGCCGCGGUAAUACGUAUGGACCGAGCGUUGUCCGGAAUCAUUGGGCGUAAAGGGUACGUAGGCGGCCUAGUAAGUUAGAAGUUAAAGAAUAUAGCUCAACUAUAUAAAGCUUUUAAAACUGCUAGGCUUGAGAGAUGGAAGGGAAAGUGGAAUUCCUAGUGUAGCGGUAAAAUGCGCAGAUAUUAGGAAGAAUACCGGUGGCGAAGGCGACUUUCUGGCCAUAAUCUGACGCUGAGGCUCGAAAGCGUGGGUAGCAAACAGG
rnacentral:rRNA from 1 species